UCAUUGCUGCCACCGGGUAGCCAGAAAUACAACAUUCGUCUGCACAUCGUUAGGUCUUUGAAGAUGUCCAUCACGGGUGUUUCUUUUUU
rnacentral:ncRNA from 1 species